UACGGAGGGUGCAAGCGUUAUCCGGAUUCACUGGGUUUAAAGGGAGCGUAGGUGGGUUGGUAAGUCAGUGGUGAAAUCCCCGAGCCUAACUUGGGAACUGCCAUUGAUACUAUCAGUCUUGAAUACUGUGGAGGUUAGCGGAAUAUGUCAUGUAGCGGUGAAAUGCUUAGAUAUGACAUAGAACACCAAUUGCGAAGGCAGCUGGCUACACAAUUAUUGACACUGAGGCUCGAAAGCGUGGGGAUCAAACAGG
rnacentral:rRNA from 1 species